CCUACGGGUGGCAGCAGUGAGGAAUAUUGGUCAAUGGGCGGGAGCCUGAACCAGCCAAGCCGCGUGAGGGAAGAAGGUCCUGCGUAUUGUAAACCUCUUUUGUCAGGGAACAAAGGCGGGGACUAGUCCACGGAUGAGCGUACCUGAAGAAAAAGGAUCGGCUAACUCCGUGCCAGCAGCGGCGGUAAUACGGAGGAUGCGAGGGUUAUCCGGAUUUAUUGGGUUUAAGGGGGGGGCAGGGGGGCUGUUAAGUCAGCGGGAAAAGCCCGGGGCUCAACCCCGGAGAGCCGUUGAAACUGGCAGGCUGGAGUGGAGGAGAGGUACGCGGAAUGCGCGGUGUAGCGGUGAAAUGCUUAGAUAUCACGAAGAACCCCGAUUGCGAAGGCAGCCUACCGG
rnacentral:rRNA from 1 species